rnacentral:rRNA from 1 species
GACGAACGCUGGCGGCGUGCUUAACACAUGCAAGUCGAACGAAGUGGCGGACGGGUGAGUAACGCGUAAUCAACCUGCCCUUCAGAGGGGGAUAACAGUUGGAAACGACUGCUAAUACCGCAUACUGAAGGAGGGGAUUGCGUCGGAUUAGCGAGUUGGAGGGGUAACGGGCCACCAAGGCGAUGCGCAGUAGCCGGUCUGAGAGGAAGACCAGCCCCACUGGGACUGAGACACGGCCCAGACUCCUACGGGAGGCAGCAGUGGGGAAUGUUGGACAAAGGGGGAAACCCUGAUCCAGCCAUCCCGCGUGUGCGAUGAAGGCCUUCGGGUGGUAAAGCUCUGUUAAUCGGGACGCGGUAUCGGAAUAGAAAGCCACGGCUAACUACGUGCCAGCAGCCGCGGUAAUUC